GGAGGGUAUAGCUUACUGGUAGAGCACAUGCUUACCAUGCACGAGGUCCUGGGUUCAAUCCCCAGUACCUCCA
rnacentral:tRNA from 1 species